AUUGAACGCUGGCGGCAUGCCUUACACAUGCAAGUCGAACGGUAACAGGUCUUCGGAUGCUGACGAGUGGCGAACGGGUGAGUAAUACAUCGGAACGUGCCCGAUCGUGGGGGAUAACGAAGCGAAAGCUUUGCUAAUACCGCAUAAGAUCUACGGAUGAAAGCAGGGGACCGCAAGGCCUUGCGCGAACGGAGCGGCCGAUGGCAGAUUAGGUAGUUGGUGGGAUAAAAGCUCACCAAGCCGACGAUCUGUAGCUGGUCUGAGAGGACGACCAGCCACACUGGGACUGAGACACGGCCCAGACUCCUACGGGAGGCAGCAGUGGGGAAUUUUGGACAAUGGGCGAAAGCCUGAUCCAGCCAUGCCGCGUGCAGGAUGAAGGCCUUCGGGUUGUAAACUGCUUUUGUACGGAACGAAAAGACUCUGGUUAAUACCUGGGGUCCAUGACGGUACCGUAAGAAUAAGCACCGGCUAACUACGUGCCAGCCGCCGCCCGUAA
rnacentral:rRNA from 1 species